rnacentral:rRNA from 1 species
UACGUAGGGUGCGAGCGUUAAUCGGAAUUACUGGGCGUAAAGCGUGCGCAGGCGGUUCGUUGUGUCGGCGGUGAAAGCCCCGGGCUCAACCUGGGAAUGGCCGUUGAAACUGGCGAACUGGAGUGUGGCAGAGGGGGGUGGAAUUCCGCGUGUAGCAGUGAAAUGCGUAGAGAUGCGGAGGAACACCGAUGGCGAAGGCAGCCCCCUGGGCUGACACUGGCGCUCAGGCACGAAAGCGUGGGGAGCAAACAGG